rnacentral:rRNA from 1 species
UAAAAUUUAUAAAAUUAGGUAGUAAAGAAAUCUCCGAAACCUAAAGAAUUUGGCGGUAUUUUAAAUAAUUGGAGGAACCUGUUAUUUAAUUGACAAUCCACAUCAUAUCUUUCCUAAAUUUUAUUUGUAUAUCGUCGUUGGGAUAAUAUUGAAAAAUUAUAAUCAAUGCCAAUAAAUUUUUAAAAAUCAGAUCAAGGUGCAGUAUAUUUAGGUUAUAAUGGGUUACAAUAUAUAUAUAUAUAUGGAUAUAAACUUGAAAUUAUAUUGAAAGUGGAUUCAAAAGUAAUAUUAAAUUAAAAUGUUAAUUUGAUUAAUAAUUUAAAAUAUGC